AGAGUUUGAUCAUGGCUCAGAGCGAACGCUGGCGGCAGGCCUAACACAUGCAAGUCGAGCGCCACGCAAGGGGAGCGGCAGACGGGAGAGUAACACGUGGGAACGUACCAUUUGGUUCGGAACAACCAAGGGCCACUUGGGCUAAUACCGGAUAAGCCAUUACGGGGCCAGAUUUAUCGCCGAAGGAUCGGCCAGCGUCUGAUUAGCUAGUUGGUGGGGUAAUGGCCAACCAAGGCUACGAUCCGAAGCUGGUCUGAGAGGAUGAUCAGCCUCACUGGGACUGAGACACGGCCAAGACUCCUACGGGAGGCAGCCAAGGGGAAUAUUGGACAAUGGGCGCAACUGAUCCGGCCGUGCCGCGUGGGUGAUGAAGGCCAUAGGGUUGUCCGGCCAUUUCAGCGGGGAAGAUAAUGACGGUACCAGCAGAAGAAGCCACGGCUAACUUCGUGCCAGCAGCCGCGGUAAUACGAAGGGGGCUAGCGUUGCUCGGAAUCACUGGGCGUCCGGCGCACGUAGGCGGAUUGCUAAGUCAGGGGUGCCAUCCUGGAGCUCAACUCCGGAACUGCCAUUGAUACUGGCGACCUCGAGUCCGGGAGAGGUGAGUGGAACUGCGAGUGUAGAGGUGCCAUUCGUAGAUAUUCGCAAGAACACCAAAGGCGCCAGCGGCUCACUGGCCAGGUACUGACGCUGAGUGCGCCAGCGUGGGGAGCCAACAGGAUUAGAUACCAUGGUAGUCCGCGCCGUCCGCGAUGGAUGCUAGCCGUUGGAGGGUUUACUCUUCCGAGGCGCAGCUAACGCAUUAAGCAUCCGGCCUGGGGAGUACGUCGCAGAAUCAGACUCCGAGGAAUUGACCGGGGGCCGCACAGCGGUGGAGCAUUGUGGU
rnacentral:rRNA from 1 species